rnacentral:rRNA from 1 species
UACAGAGGGGGCAAGCGUUAUUCGGAAUUAUUGGGCGUAAAGGGCGCGUAGGCGGCCUUGCAAGUGACGGGUGAAAUCCCUCGGCUUAACCGAGGAACUGCCUGUCAAACUGCGUGGCUUGAGACCAGGAGAGGUGAGUGGAAUUCCCAGUGUAGCGGUGAAAUGCGUAGAUAUUGGGAGGAACACCAGUGGCGAAGGCGGCUCACUGGACUGGUACUGACGCUGAGGCACGAAAGCGUGGGGAGCAAACAGG